CUAACCUUUCACCUGAAAUACACAUAAUUUAUUUCAUCAUUAUAAAUCUUUCUUUAAAUAUCUUAUAGGAAUCCAAAAGGAGGAAUUUGCCCGAAAUCCCCUGCAUGUGGAGCUGUGUCCCCCGCGUACCUUCUCAAGCCACACCCUGAUGAUCUGGCGCUUGGAGAAAGCAGGAAAGCAACCAUUUGCUACACAAUUGGAAACACGUGCUGUGGAAAGACUCAGCAAAUAAUGAUAAAGAAAUGCAACGGUUUUUUCAUCUACAAGCUGCCUCGUGCUUGCAUCAAAAGGGCACGGUAUUGCGGCAAUGGAGGGCAAGAGAAACCUGACUGUGAUGAAAAAGAGCUGCUUUUUGGUCUGACGAAAAAGUACGCAGCAGAGUCGUGCAAAGAGAUAAAAGAGAAGAGAAAAGAUGCCGA